rnacentral:ncRNA from 1 species
GCGUGAGGCUAAUAAAAAACCCGAAAGGGAAAUAUGCCCGCCGCCUUUACACGGUUUUGAGCGCUUGGCCGCCCUC